GGGGGGGCAAUUCUUCAUGUGCUUCUCAAACCUUUAGCUCCACAUCAUGAGUUAUGACAUGAUCAUUUGUGUUAUUAUUCUGGUUGAAACAGGUUUUUCUUGCACAAUUAGACUAAACAUCAACAGUCAUUUAAAGGUAUUUUAAUGGUUGAGUAAAUCUGAAUUGAUUGUCGCACUGAAUGCAUUAUUGCUUCUGUGCACACGUCUAUCACCAGCUAUCUAUACAAGAUUGUUUGAACCUUUGAAACCUUUAAAGUCAGAGUUAUUGGAAAACCAUUUUCCUUUGCAGGGAGAGAAUAGACAUUUUGUUCUGCUUUCAGACAAAUGCCGUGUCAACAUAUAAACGUAAUUCAGUUAUAAACAUGUUGGAUGGCUAGCAGGAUGUUAAUUUAAUCAGCGUUCUAGCCAGAGUCAGAGUCUAAGAGUCUGAAGGCACUUCUUCUGCAGUGUGAGAAGGUUCAGAUUAACCGAACCUCCCAUCCAGUGUGUAGACACAUUUCAGAAAUUAAUUGUAUAUAAAAUUAGGUUUUGGGGGAAAUGAUUAAAUGGAAUAGUUCAUCCAAAAAUGUAAA